CCUACGGGAGGCUGCAGUGAGGAAUAUUGGGCAAUGGGCGCAAGCCUGACCCAGCAACGCCGCGUGAAGGAAGAAUGCUUUCGGGUUGGAAACUUCUUUUAUGAAGGACGUAACAAGUGACGGUACCUCAUAAAUAAGCCACGUCUAAAUACGUGCCAGCAGCCGCGGUAAUACGUAAGUGGCAAGCGUUAUCCGGAUUUACUGGGUGUAAAGAGCGUGUAGGCGGGAUUGCAAGUCAGAUGUGAAAAUUAUGGGCUCAACCCAUAACCUGGAUUUGAAACUGUCGUCCUUGAGUGAUGGAGAGGCAGGCGGAAUUCCGGGUGUAGCGGUGAAAUGCGUAGAUAUAACGAGGAACACCAGUGGCGAAGGCAGCCUGCUAGACAGCAACUGACGCUGAGGCGCGAAAGUGUGGGGAUCAAACAGGAUUAGAUACCCGGGUAGUC
rnacentral:rRNA from 1 species